rnacentral:rRNA from 1 species
GACGAACGCUGGCGGCGUGCUUAACACAUGCAAGUCGAACGGUGAACGAGGGAGCUUGCUCCCUCCGGAUCAGUGGCGAACGGGUGAGUAACACGUGAGCAAUCUGCCCCGAACUCUGGGAUAAGCGUUGGAAACGACGUCUAAUACCGGAUACGACGCGGGAGGGCAUCCUCUCCGCGUGGAAAGAACUUCGGUUCGGGAUGAGCUCGCGGCCUAUCAGCUUGUUGGUGAGGUAACGGCUCACCAAGGCGACGACGGGUAGCCGGCCUGAGAGGGUGACCGGCCACACUGGGACUGAGACACGGCCCAGACUCCUACGGGAGGCAGCAGUGGGGAAUAUUGCACAAUGGGCGCAAGCCUGUUGCAGCAACGCCGCGUGAGGGACGACGGCCUUCGGGUUGUAAACCUCUUUUAGCAGGGAAGAAGCGAAAGUGACGGUACCUGCAGAAAAAGCACCGGCUAACUACGUG